rnacentral:rRNA from 1 species
CCUACGGGUGGCUGCAGUGGGGAAUAUUGCGCAAUGGGCGAAAGCCUGACGCAGCGACGCCGCGUGAGGGAUGAAGGUCUUCGGAUCGUAAAACUCUGUCAGCAGGGAAGAACGGUCACUGUGCUAAUCAGCAGUGAAUUGACGGUACCUGCAAAGGAAGCACCGGCUAACUCCGUGCCAGCAGCCGCUGUAAUACGGAGGGUGGGUGCGUUAAUCGGAAUUAUUGGGCGUAAAGCGCUCGUAGGCGGUAUGUCAAGUCAAGGGUGAAAUCCCCGCGCUCAAAGUGGGAACUGCCGUUGAAACUGGCAAACUGGAGUGGGUGAGAGGGAAGUGGAA